CCCACGCAGCCUGUCACAUGCCGGGCUAGUUCAUGGUCGGCCAAGUAGUCCCCUCCCGCGGACUUUGCGACCGUGCCGUAAGGCAGCCCCUCGCACCGUCGCGACUCCGCUGUGCGUGCGGUAGCCGCCGGACGGCAGCCAUGGCGGCCUUGCGACCCCCGAGGAGGUUCCUCCUUCCUCUCUGCCGCGCCUUCUCCGGCGGCGGCUGCCAGCCCGUCCCCGAGCGCGGCGGUGAGCGCAGGGAUGCCGCGCCGAGCCGGGUCUCAAGAUUCUGCCCUCCAAGAAAAUCUUGCCAUGAUUGGAUAGGACCCCCAGAUAAAUAUUCAAACCUUCGACCUGUUCACUUCUACAUCCCUGAAAAUGAAUCACCAUUGGAACAAAAGUUAAGAGAAUUAAGACAAGAAACACAAGAAUGGAACCAACAGUUCUGGGCAAACCAGAAUUUGACUUUUCUUAAGGAAAAAGAAAAAUUUAUUGACUCAAGACUAAAAGCCAAAGGCCUGGAACUGACAGCUGAAUCAGAGCAGCCUUAUGAGGUGUGCUGUUGUGAUCUGCGUCCUGGAGCCCGGAGAAGCCACAGCCCGGCCGCAGGGCCGGCGAGGGACGGAAGCCCGGCCCGUGGAACCGCUGCCUGCGGGGCCAGGAGGACACGGCCCACCUGCUCAGCUCCUCUCGUCAGUGUAUUUAUUGAACACCUGCCACAUCCCAGGCUAGUCCUGGGGACCAGCUGGGGACGAGACAGAGCCACGGCCUCGCCUUUGUGGAGCAGACCUCCUUGCGUGGGCCGGGAGGGUGACCAGCAGACAAGCAGCUCGGUGAACGCACUCUGCACUCCCGGGGUGUCGACCGCGGGGGAGAAAGAAGCCGGGGGGAGGGAAGGAGUGGCGUUUUCGCAGAGCGGGGGCAGAGGGGGAGGUUGGGAGAGGGUCUUCCAGGUGGAGGUCUCGAGGGCCAGCAGGAGGCCGGGUCAGAGGAGUGAGGACACGUGGAAUCGACUGCUCUUCACUCAGGCGCUGGGGGUCCGGGUCAAAAAGCAACAUUGAAUGCAGAAGAAAUGGCUGAAUUUUACAAGGAAUUUUUAAGUAAAAAUUUUCAGAAGCACAUGUAUUAUAACAGGUAGAAGUUGCUAUCAGCUUAGUGUUUGCACUUUUAAAUAAAAAUGACAGCUUCAAGUUACUUGCAUGGCAGCCCUAAAGCAGCUUGCACCCCUAGUGCAUAGACAGUGGGUUCACAGCACUUCCCACUGAAAGGAGCCUGGACUCCAUGGAGAAGCACAGUCUGGGGCAGGAGCAGCACGAGAGGAGUCAAGACAUCUUGUGUUUGAAAGAGAGGAAGCUCGGAGCCCAGCGGGGUCGUGUGAAAACAGCACAGAAGGCGACUCGCGGGGCUCCCUUAGGCCAGAGGCGAAGCCAUUGUAGCCACACAAAGAAAAUGACGGCUGUGGAUUAAAAAUCUAUCAAAUACACUAACAUCUUUGCGAUCAUAAUGACACUGAGUGGCUCACAGGCACCGUGGGGUAUUGCUAGGCAGCCAACCCAUGGUUCUGAAAAUCCAUUAGUGAAGGAGCGCCUCCAAAGAACAGUCACCUCUCCUGCCUUUCCUGCACCGACUGGAUUCCAGGGUAGCCAAACGAAGGAGCAUUUUUCUUGGUAGAAGAAUGACAGCUGACGCAGGAGUGCUGGAGUUAGAUCUGGGCCUGAUCACCCCGCAGCUGCUAACCGCUCGGCAGCAGGGCUGAUGGGCACUUCAUAAUGGACGGGUCGGGCUGAUCGCACCUGAACCCCUGGUUCCUCUUUGCACUGUGCGGAGUGGGGCAGCGGCCUGCCUGCACUUCUGUGAGGUGUCCUCACCAAACAAGGGGACUGCAGUCUGGCAGGCCUCCGGGUCUAAUAUCAGGUUACAGGAACAAGAUAAAAGGGUGUGUUGGGGGGGUGGAGAGAGCAGGUCACAGACCGUGCUUAAAUCGUAGCCUGAAGAUACAGUCCCAGAUGUUGGAAAUUUUGCAAGACAGACGAUCCAGUUUCAACCAGUAACUAGGAUUAAAAAAAAAAAAAAAAGGACAGCUUAAAGUUAUUUGCAUGGCAGCCCUAAAGCAGCUUGCACCCCUCGUGCAUAGACAGUGGGUUCUACACAGGGGAGCUAAUAUUAUAGGAUAAAAGAGGCUUCAUGCAGUGUGUAGACAAUAUUUGGAUCCUAAUACAGGCAAACCACCUAUAAAAAGGUAUUUUUGACAAUCAGUCAAAGAAAACCGAACAGUGACUGUAUAUUAGGUUGUAUAGAUAAGUUAUUGUUCAUUUUAUCAGAUACAAUGAUGGUAUUGUGGUUAGGUGUUUUUAAAAAAGGUUUUGACGAUACAUAGUGAUGUGUAUUCCUAGGUGUGACGACAGGACGUGGCGUUUGAGAUUUGCUGUGACGUUCAUAGGGCAAUGGCCACGCCGGAUGGGCGGGUGGGGCAGGGUCUAGACAGUGGGGUGAUCGUCGAGUCUGGAGGAGCUCUUGAGUGACACUCAGGCAUAAAGCCCAGUCCUGCAGCGUCCAGAGUCUGUUGCUAAUGCUGUCAUGUGUCACUCUGAACUAGCUGAGUUAUUCAGUCAAGCCAGUAUUAGUUAGAUUUCCCUGGACCUUUGAUUUCUGGCGUGGACACGGCAUGUUUGCAUCUUGCUUCCUCUCCGGUAAGCUUGAUGUUUUCCGUGUGGCACUCAGAGUAGAGAGAGGGUCGGACAGCGGUGGAGCCUGCGCGCUCCCUCUCUGUGCCCGCACCACCUCCUGCCCCUGCUUUCCUUACGGAAGUGGGGACAGCUUAGUUUGUCUUUUCCACUCUCCCAGUUCAGGUUGUCUGUAUCGGUGGAGUGGAAUCUGGCUUUUCCCUAGUAACCUAAGAACUUUAAUCUCGGUGGGAUACCAGUUUUCUUUUUUCUGGAAGCCUUUUUUAUUUAUUUAGGGCAUUGCUUCCCAUUUAUAGCAUCAUUGAAGUGGAUAGAAACGUAAGGAUCGUUCUCGUGUGGAGAGGGGUUUUCUGUCCAGCUGUGCAAAGGCUCCAGGAAACGGGCAUUUUUGCCUCUUGCUACUGCUUCACUCAAGCCCUUGGUUAUUCUCCAUUAUUCUAUGCUGAGAUCCAGUCAGCCGUUUGAGUCCAGUCUGGAAUAGCAGUUCCAUGUCCCUCAUUAGCUCAUUUGGACCCAAAGCACUGGCACUUGCUGGUAUUUCAGCUUCCAAGGGCUCAGCACUGAGAGUCUGGAAUGUGUGCUUUCCGUUGUGGAAACUUGCCAAGUUUUGCCCAUUCAGCUGCUGACAAUGUGGUGAAUUUGCAAGUUCUGACAUGUUCUGUAGAGUAAUUCACAGGCAAGUGAGCCUAUGACAGCGUGUAACUCCAUCCCAGUAUUUGUAUGAGAAGUUCUGGAAUAUCCCUUUCGAGACACAAGUUACCCAAAAGUUCAGAUCAUCAAGAAAAAGAAGAUAUGAAACUUGAUGAUGUUGGCACCUGCGAUAAGUUAGCUUCUCAAGAUGGAGUGCUUUUGUCAUGUGCUUCUUAUGCAGUUAAGGUGCCAAAGCCUGGGGGUCCCCACUGAGUUCUUGCAGAGCCUCCAGUCCUUCUCUGAGAGGUUACGCCCCCAUUGCUCUACAGUUGUGUCUCCGAGAGAAUGCCGCUGGGCUCUGGGGGCCCCAAGGCUUCCGAGAGCUCUUUCUGUGUCUUCUAGCAAAAACUGAGGAAGGCUGCAGCAGCCUCCAGGAGUGGGAAAAGCGGGGUCGGGGUGCCCUGGGCACAUCAGCCUGAUGAAAAUCCGGGUGGAAGGCAGGCAGGCUUUUACGGGCAGUCUAGCUUUAAAGAGGGCGGGGAAUGGCAGAGAUGGUGGGGAAGGGUGGAAGAGGAGACAGUCGGAUGCCUGAGCGUGGGUCACGUGUGCUUGUGCUGUUCUUCUUCAGGGACUGGUACAAGCGUAAUUUUGCCAUCACCUUCUUCAUGGGAAAGGUGGCCCUGGAGAGGAUUUGGAACAAGCUUAGACUGAAACGAAAGAAGACCAGCAAUUAGGAGCCCACCCUGACCCACCCGCCCAGCGUCUAAGUUUCCACGAGAAGCAGCUGCUUAUAGGAGCUCGUUUUACGAGGGCUCUAAGAGCUGUGUGUGCAGGGCAGGCUGGGAGGACGCGGGUCCUGGUGUGCUGUGGCCCACGUGGCUCCGUCCUGACUGUGGAUUCCAAGCUGGCUCUUGGUCAUGGAAGUGAUAUUAAAUAAAACCCAAGCACUGUGCGCCUGUUUUCUGUGUUUUUGAAUUACACCAGUUUGAAAGAGAACAAUAUAAAGAUAUUAAUAAAAUUUCACUUGAAAAA